UGCUGUUGGAAAAAUGGUGCCAAUAGACUUGCUUGACGCAGGGUUGCCACAGACCUUCAAUUUGUGAAAAACACAACAUCUGCAAAGUAGCAGUAAAAUGACAC